rnacentral:tRNA from 1 species
GGCCCGGUAGUUCAGUCGGUUAGAACGCCUGCCUGUCACGCAGGAGGUCGACGGUUCGAGUCCGUUCCGGGUCG